rnacentral:rRNA from 1 species
AUUGAACGCUGGCGGCAUGCCUUACACAUGCAAGUCGAACGGCAGCACGGGAGCAAUCCUGGUGGCGAGUGGCGAACGGGUGAGUAAUAUAUCGGAACGUGCCCAGUCGUGGGGGAUAACGUAGCGAAAGCUACGCUAAUACCGCAUACGAUCUAUGGAUGAAAGCGGGGGAUCGCAAGACCUCGCGCGAUUGGAGCGGCCGAUAUCAGAUUAGGUAGUUGGUGAGGUAAAGGCUCACCAAGCCGACGAUCUGUAGCUGGUCUGAGAGGACGACCAGCCACACUGGGACUGAGACACGGCCCAGACUCCUACGGGAGGCAGCAGUGGGGAAUUUUGGACAAUGGGCGCAAGCCUGAUCCAGCAAUGCCGCGUGCAGGAUGAAGGCCUUCGGGUUGUAAACUGCUUUUGUACGGAACGAAACGGUGAACUCUAAUACAGUUUGCUAAUGACGGUACCGUAAGAAUAAGCACCGGCUAACUACGUG